GCGAGCGUGACGGCGCGAGCAGGUGCGAAAGCAGGUCAUAGUGAUCCGGUGGUUCUGAAUGGAAGGGCCAUCGCUCAACGGAUAAAAGGUACUCCGGGGAUAACAGGCUGAUACCGCCCAAGAGUUCAUAUCGACGGCGGUGUUUGGCACCUCGAUGUCGGCUCAUCACAUCCUGGGGCUGAAGUAGGUCCCAAGGGUAUGGCUGUUCGCCAUUUAAAGUGGUACGCGAGCUGGGUUUAGAACGUCGUGAGACAGUUCGGUCCCUAUCUGCCGUGGGCGCUGGAGAACUGAGGGGGGCUGCUCCUAGUACGAGAGGACCGGAGUGGACGCAUCACUGGUGUUCGGGUUGUCAUGCCAAUGGCACUGCCCGGUAGCUAAAUGCGGAAGAGAUAAGUGCUGAAAGCAUCUAAGCACGAAACUUGCC
rnacentral:rRNA from 1 species